CAAAAUGCGUCAACUACUUCAAGUCAUCCCUUGGUUGUUUCUGCUGCUUCUUAGUCAGGCGUUACCACGUAGAUCAAAAUGCUAUCAUAAUUGGGGUUACGACUCCGUUAUUAACAAGUGUGUACCGCCUUAUGGGGCUGUUCACACCACAUAUAGACCAAAUGACUUGCUAGCCAGUAUCCUUAUAAAACCUAACUGUGCUGAGGGUCACGUCUGGCAGCAGGAACUAAUGACAUGUGUGAGAUGUCCGGCAACGGGCUGUAACCAAAGUACGCCUAAACCACAACUUCUCCUCGAAAAACAUUGUCCUAAUAUGCAGUAUCUGAAUUUGGCGACCAAAAAAUGUGUAAACUUAGUACCACCUGUUAUUACCUAUAAAGUUUGAUCAAGGUAUGGCUGUUUUUCAGACGUAGAAUAUCAAUAAACUAACUGAAAAAUAAGUCUCUAGUCGAGACUGCUCGACUACGAGAUAUGCUGCA
rnacentral:sRNA from 1 species